rnacentral:rRNA from 1 species
CAACCGAAAGCGGAAGCAGCUUGCUGCGGAAGAUUUCGUCCGGGGUGACUGAGUGGCGGACGGGUGAGUAACGCGUGGGUAACCUGCCCCAUAGAGGGGGACAACAGUUGGAAACGACUGCUAAUACCGCAUAGUAAGGAACUGCCGCAUGACGGUUUCUUGAAAGAUUUAUCGCUAUGGGAUGGACCCGCGUCUGAUUAGCUAGUUGGUAAGGUAACGGCUUACCAAGGCGACGAUCAGUAGCCGGCUUGAGAGAGUGAACGGCCACAUUGGGACUGAGACACGGCCCAAACUCCUACGGGAGGCAGCAGUGGGGAAUAUUGCACAAUGGGGGAAACCCUGAUGCAGCGACGCCGCGUGAGUGAAGAAGUAUUUCGGUAUGUAAAGCUCUAUCAGCAGGGAAGAUAAUGACGGUACCUGACUAAGAAGCCCCGGCUAACUACGUGCCAGCAGCCGCGGUAAUACGUAGGGGGCAAGCGUUAUCCGGAUUUACUGGGUGUAAAGGGUGCGUAGGUGGCAGGGCAAGUCAGAUGUGAAAGCCCGGGGCUCAACCCCGGUAUUGCAUUUGAAACUGUCCGGCUGGAGUGCAGGAGAGGUAAGCGGAAUUCCUAGUGUAGCGGUGAAAUGCGUAGAUAUUAGGAGGAACACCAGUGGCGAAGGCGGCUUACUGGACUGUAACUGACGCUGAGGCACGAAAGCGUGGGGAGCAAACAGGAUUAGAUACCCUGGUAGUCCACGCCGUANACGAUGAAUACUAGGUGUCGGGGCCCACNG